rnacentral:rRNA from 1 species
UACGGGGGGGGCAAGCGUUGUUCGGAAUUACUGGGCGUAAAGGGCUCGUAGGCGGCCAACUAAGUCAGACGUGAAAUCCCCAGGCUCAACCCAGGAACUGCGUCCGAUACUGGUUGGCUUGAAUCCGGGAGAGGGACGUGGAAUUCCAGGUGUAGCGGUGAAAUGCGUAGAUAUCAGGAGGAACACCGGUGGCGAAGGCGGGUCUCUGGGCCGAUACUGACGCUGAGGAGCGAAAGCGUGGGGAGCGAACAGG